UGGGGAAUAUUGGACAAUGGGCGCAAGCCUGAUCCAGCCAUACCGCGUGGGGGAAGAAGGCCUUCGGGUUGUAAAGCCCUUUUGUUGGGAAAGAAAUCCAGCCGGCUAAUACCUGGUUGGGAUGACGGUACCCAAAGAAUAAGCACCGGCUAACUUCGUGCCAGCAGCCGCGGUAAUACGAAGGGUGCAAGCGUUACUCGGAAUUACUGGGCGUAAAGCGUGCGUAGGUGGUUAUUUAAGUCCGUUGUGAAAGCCCUGGGCUCAACCUGGGAACUGCAGUGGAUACUGGAUGACUAGAAUGUGGUAGAGGGUAGCGGAAUUCCUGGUGUAGCAGUGAAAUGCGUAGAGAUCAGGAGGAACAUCCAUGGCGAAGGCAGCUACCUGGACCAACAUUGACACUGAGGCACGAAAGCGUGGGGAGCAAACA
rnacentral:rRNA from 1 species